rnacentral:tRNA from 2 species
GGGGGAUUAGUCAAGCGGUCGAAGACGGCAGACUGUAAAUCUGUUAUCCCACACGGUAGUUCGAAUCUACCAUCCCCCACCA